rnacentral:rRNA from 1 species
ACCUACGGGGCGCAGCAGUGGGGGAUAUUGCACAAUGGGGGGAACCCUGAUGCAGCGACGCCGCGUGGGUGAAGAAGUAUUUCGGUAUGUAAAGCCCUAUCGGCAGGGAAGAAUUUAGACGGUACCUGACUAAGAAGCCCCGGCUAACUACGUGCCAGCAGCCGCGGUAAUACGUAGGUGGCAAGCGUUAUCCGGAAUUACUGGGUGUAAAGGGUGGGUAGGCGGGGCUGCAAGUCAGAUGUGAAAAUUUUUGGGUCAACCCAUAAAC